rnacentral:lncRNA from 1 species
AGCUAAGGCAAUUCUUCUCAGAAAGGAAUCUGCUUACCCCAACUCUUCCCUCUUCAUGUUUUUCAAGGGACGGAUCCAGCGGUUAGAGGUAUGGCACCUUCCUCAGCUUUUAUAGUGAACUUUGGACUACCAUGCCUCUGUUUUCUGCUCAGGGACAUUUUGUAUGUGCCAGAAUACCAUUGGCCAGGUACAUCGUGUACCCUGGUGAUACCUUCAGGUCACAGAAAAGGAUAAUGGGAUCCAAGAGGGCUUCUGAUCACUUCCUGAGAUUUCCGCACAUGAGCCCAGGCUGUCCCUCUCCAAACCCAGACCAUGCCCUGGCUGGGCAGGGCCCCACUUCUCCGUGUCUUUCAUCUUGUUCAGGGUGAGGAGGAUUUGCGGGACAAUGAAGAGGUUGCAGAGACAUCUGAAUGAAGGUGGCUGCUCUCACUGCAAGAACCACCCAUUGUGUUACUAGGAGUUUUCAAAUAAACCAGUUGGGUGUUUUACAGUC